CUUGUAUGAUGAUGUGGUGUCAUGGCUGAAUGCUAUGCUUUCGAAGACUUUGUUCUCAGGAAAUACUGUGAAGACAUAAGAAUGGUCAACUUCUAAGGUGGAAUGUCAGAGAGCUGCCUAUAAGAUUUCAGAACAUCAGAGGCAACCUCCUAUAGCCCAAGAAGCUGACAUAUCCUGAGCUGAGUGGGCUCUCACCAACAGUGGAGAGGAGGCGUCUUCUACUUGAUUGAGGUAGAGGGUGCCUGAGAGAGAGAUCUUGGAUCUCAGUUGAGCCACUUUCUUCAUCAGAGAACAGCAGGGAGGCCAUGUCUUUGAAGGACCUCUCAUGGAGGGGAAUUCCUGGGCUCUCCUGAAGAACUUGAAGGGGAGUGUGAAAUACGAGAAUGCUUCAUCAAACCACACCUGUUUGCAAAAUUCUUUUCUUUGCUUACCAGCCUCCUGGAUCCUGUUCAUAGACUCAGCCUCAAAACCUUUGUCUAUCAAGAUGUCUACUGUGCCCUAGGGAGGUUUCAAUCAGUGAGCUUUCUACAUCCACCCCUCUCCCCCCCAGAGUCAAAGCAUAGCCCUAGGGGUGUAAAAUGUUCCUAGCAGUAGAUUGAGGAAACAU